rnacentral:rRNA from 1 species
AACUCACCAGGUCCAGACACAGUGAGGAUUGACAGAUUGAGAGCUCUUUCUUGAUUCUGUGGGUGGUGGUGCAUGGCCGUUCUUAGUUGGUGGAGUGAUUUGUCUGCUUAAUUGCGAUAACGAACGAGACCUUAACCUGCUAAAUAGCCCGUACUGCUUUGGCAGUUCGCCGGCUUCUUAGAGGGACUAUCGGCUCAAGCCGAUGGAAGUUUGAGGCAAUAACAGGUCUGUGAUGCCCUUAGAUGUCCUGGGCCGCACGCGCGUUACACUGACAGAGCCAGCGAGUAUUUCCUUGACCGGAAGGUCCGGGUAAUCUUGUUAAACUCUGUCGUGCUGGGGAUAGAGCAUUGCAAUUAU